rnacentral:rRNA from 1 species
CGACGGCGGACGGGUGAGUAAUGCCUAGGAAUCUGCCUGGUAGUGGGGGACAACGUUUCGAAAGGAACGCUAAUACCGCAUACGUCCUACGGGAGAAAGCAGGGGACCUUCGGGCCUUGCGCUAUCAGAUGAGCCUAGGUCGGAUUAGCUAGUUGGUGGGGUAAUGGCUCACCAAGGCGACGAUCCGUAACUGGUCUGAGAGGAUGAUCAGUCACACUGGAACUGAGACACGGUCCAGACUCCUACGGGAGGCAGCAGUGGGGAAUAUUGGACAAUGGGCGAAAGCCUGAUCCAGCCAUGCCGCGUGUGUGAAGAAGGUCUUCGGAUUGUAAAGCACUUUAAGUUGGGAGGAAGGGCAGUAAGUUAAUACCUUGCUGUUUUGACGUUACCGACAGAAUAAGCACCGGCUAACUCUGUGCCAGCAGCCGCGGUAAUACAGAGGGUGCAAGCGUUAAUCGGAAUUACUGGGCGUAAAGCGCGCGUAGGUGGUUUGUUAAGUUGGAUGUGAAAGCCCCGGGCUCAACCUGGGAAAUGCAUCCAAAACUGGCAAGCUAGAGUACGGUAGAGGGUGGUGGAAUUUCCUGUGUAGCGGUGAAAUGCGUAGAUAUAGGAAGGAACACCAGUGGCGAAGGCGACCACCUGGACUGAUACUGACACUGAGGUGCGAAAGCGUGGGGAGCAAACAGGAUUAGAUACCCUGGUAGUCCACGCCGUAAACGAUGUCAACUAGCCGUUGGAAUCCUUGAGAUUUUAGUGGCGCAGCUAACGCAUUAAGUUGACCGCCUGGGGAGUACGGCCGCAAGGUUAAAAAUCAAAUGAAUUGACGGGGGCCCGCACAAGCGGUGGAGCAUGUGGUUUAAUUUGAAGCAACGCGAAGAACCUUACCAGGCCUUGACAUGCAGAGAACUUCCAGAGAUGGAUUG